rnacentral:tRNA from 1 species
GAUAGAAUAGCCAAUGGAUCUAAGGCGCUGGAUUUAGGCUCCAGUCUCUUCGGGGGCGUGGGUUCGAAUCCCACCGCUGCCA